rnacentral:rRNA from 1 species
UUCUAAUAGAUUUUAAUUAUUAGUAAAAUCUGCUCAAUGAGUAUUUAAAUAGCCGCAAUUUUAUUGUGCUAAGGUAGCAUAAUCAUUUGUCUUUUAAUUAAAGACUAGAACGAAAGAUUUAACAUUUAAAUUUCUAUUUAAAUUAUUAUAUUUUAAUUUAUCUUAAAUAUAAAAAGAUAUUUAUUAUAAAAAUAGACGACAAGACCCUAUUGAACUUUACUUUAGUUAAACUGGGGCAGUAAAUUAAUUAAAAUUUUAAUUAAAAUUUUUAAUAAAAUGAUCCUUUAAAAAAGAUUAUUUGAUCAAGUUACCAUAGGGAUAACAGCGUAAUAAUUAUUUAAAGAUCUUAUUUAAAAAAUUGUUUUCGACCUCGAUGUUGAAUAAUAUCCUAUUUAAAGAAAAAAUUUUAUAAGAAAGUCUGUUCGACUUUUAAUUAAUUACA